CUGCGGCAGCGACACUGUGUGUUGUUGGGUAGGGGAGCGUUCUGUAAGCCUGUGAAGGUGUGUCGUGAGGCAUGCUGGAGGUAUCAGAAGUGCGAAUGCUGACAUAAGUAACGAUAAAGCGGGUGAAAAGCCCGCUCGCCGGAAGACCAAGGGUUCCUGUCCAACGUUAAUCGGGGCAGGGUGAGUCGACCCCUAAGGCGAGGCCGAAAGGCGUAGUCGAUGGGAAACGGGUUAAUAUUCCCGUACUUGGUGUUACUGCGAAGGGGGGACGGAGAAGGCUAUGUUGGCCGGGCGACGGUUGUCCCGGUUUAAGCGUGUAGGUGUGUGUUCCAGGUAAAUCCGGUUCACUUUAACACUGAGGCGUGACGACGAGGCACUACGGUGCUGAAGCAACAAAUGCCCUGCUUCCAGGAAAAGCCUCUAAGCAUCAGGUAACAUCAAAUCGUACCCCAAACCGACACAGGUGGUCAGGUAGAGAAUACCAAGGCGCUUGAGAGAACUCGGGUGAAGGAACUAGGCAAAAUGGUGCCGUAACUUCGGGAGAAGGCACGCUGACACGUAGGUGAAGUGAUUUACUCAUGGAGCUGAAGUCAGUCGAAGAUACCAGCUGGCUGCAACUGUUUAUUAAAAACACAGCACUGUGCAAACACGAAAGUGGACGUAUACGGUGUGACGCCUGCCCGGUGCCGGAAGGUUAAUUGAUGGGGUCAGCGCAAGCGAAGCUCCUGAUCGAAGCCCCGGUAAACGGCGGCCGUAACUAUAACGGUCCUAAGGUAGCGAAAUUCCUUGUCGGGUAAGUUCCGACCUGCACGAAUGGCGUAAUGAUGGCCAGGCUGUCUCCACCCGAGACUCAGUGAAAUUGAACUCGCUGUGAAGAUGCAGUGUACCCGCGGCAAGACGGAAAGACCCCGUGAACCUUUACUAUAGCUUGACACUGAACAUUGAGCCUUGAUGUGUAGGAUAGGUGGGAGGCUUUGAAGUGUGGACGCCAGUCUGCAUGGAGCCGACCUUGAAAUACCACCCUUUAAUGUUUGAUGUUCUAACGUGGACCCGUUACCCGGGUUGCGGACAGUGUCUGGUGGGUAGUUUGACUGGGGCGGUCUCCUCCUAAAGAGUAACGGAGGAGCACGAAGGUUGGCUAAUCCUGGUCGGACAUCAGGAGGUUAGUGCAAUGGCAUAAGCCAGCUUGACUGCGAGCGUGACGGCGCGAGCAGGUGCGAAAGCAGGUCAUAGUGAUCCGGUGGUUCUGAAUGGAAGGGCCAUCGCUCAACGGAUAAAAGGUACUCCGGGGAUAACAGGCUGAUACCGCCCAAGAGUUCAUAUCGACGGCGGUGUUUGGCACCUCGAUGUCGGCUCAUCACAUCCUGGGGCUGAAGUAGGUCCCAAGGGUAUGGCUGUUCGCCAUUUAAAGUGGUACGCGAGCUGGGUUUAGAACGUCGUGAGACAGUUCGGUCCCUAUCUGCCGUGGGCGCUGGAGAACUGAGGGGGGCUGCUCCUAGUACGAGAGGACCGGAGUGGACGCAUCACUGGUGUUCGGGUUGUCAUGCCAAUGGCACUGCCCGGUAGCUAAAUGCGGAAGAGAUAAGUGCUGAAAGCAUCUAAGCACGAAACUUGCCCCGA
rnacentral:rRNA from 3 species